rnacentral:rRNA from 1 species
UACGGAGGGGGCAAGCGUUAUUCGGAAUCAUUGGGCGUAAAGGGCGCGUAGGCGGCUUCAUAAGUCUUGGGUGAAAGCCCUCGGCUCAACCGAGGAAUUGCCUUGGAUACUGUGAAGCUCGAGGCUGGAAGAGGGCAGUGGAAUUCCCGGUGUAGCGGUGAAAUGCGUAGAUAUCGGGAGGAAUAUCAGUGGCGAAGGCGGCGACCUGGGCCAAUACUGACGCUGAGGUGCGAAAGCGUGGGGAGCAAACAGG